GUCCCCUCCUUCCGCACGAAUCCUACCAGAGAGAGGAAGAUGGGAGGGAGAGAGAGAGGAGGAAGAUGGGAGGAGGGAGAAAGAGAGAGGGAGAGGAGAGGGAGGUCUGGCGGCGGAUAGGAAAGGGUGACCAGCCAGCGUUGGCCUGUGCCCCUCCUCUCGUAGGAACCCUAGCAGAGAGAGAAGAUGAGAGGGAGAGAGAGAAGGAAGGAGAGAAGGGAGAAAGAGAGAGGAAAAAGGAGAGGGAGGUGCGACGGCUGACGGGAGAGAGGAUCACCGGCCGGCGUCGGCCUGCGCCGGCCAGGAUGGGCGCGACCUGGAGGUUGGCGGCGGCUCGAUCCGCUCCUGGAUCGGGAACUGCGACGGGGCUGGGUCUCGGGCGCGAUUCACGGGAGGCUGCACUCCGCCUCUUCCUCGUGGUGCGGCGGACGACGGCUCUUGCGGCCGUGCGGCCGACGGCGGCCUCAGCGGGUGGGCGAUGACACCUACAGCUGGUGUUCUACCCAUGGAUUCCCGUACAGCCCGAGGCGCUCUGGACAAAUUAGGCCUGAGCCAAUGGGGGAGAAGACGGAGUAUAUGGAUGAGCAGCUGGAGCACACGUUCAUUUGAUGUUUGCGCGCAAGAUGGAGAAGUUCGCUAGAAGGAAGAAGAGUUGGGCGGCGAGGAGGAGAAGAAGGCGGUCUGCGAGCUGCUUGCACGCGCAGCAGCAGGAGUCCGCCAGUGAGGUGCUCCUCUGGAUACUCCCUUCCGGCGCCGGGCUUACGUGUUCAACACCGCCCUCACUGUCCCCUUCUUCCAUUGGCUCAUCGGUCGGUCAGAGGUUAUCGAGGUGGAGGUCAACGGGGUGAGACAGAGAAGUGGAGUUCUCAUAAAGAAACGCAGGUAUGUAUGAAUAUGAUGGAUGCUUCCAUUGCCAACUGAUGAAUGCAUGUCUCCUUUCGCGCAGGUGCUGCCUGGAUUCGCCAUCGUGGCCGCCGCCUCCAGUCGCUUCCACCUGGACAUCCUUCGCCAACAAGGUAAUUUCGUUCCGGUCCCAGCUGUCCUCCUAUCCUCCGCGCUUGAUUGCUAUGAGUUCUUGUUGUGUGUGUGCAAGGCUUAGUGAUGUGUGUGUCCGGGAACCCAUUGUGUUCUUUUUUAUGGAUUGUUGCUGCGUGCAUGAUUGUUGUGGCUGGCUUGGUGGUAGCAUCAUACAUACUGUUCUGGUUGGUUAGCUUAACGCUCUAAAGCUAGGCUUUUAAUUCUCUGGGUGUAAGUAAUGUAUUGCUAUACCAGAUAAAAUAUACACAUGCAUUGCAAACAUGAUUCUGCUUAUACGCGGAAGUAUAUUUUUCAAAUCUAUCUCUUCAAUUCUUAGGACCAUUCUUUACUGAAAGUCUAGAACUAUGUAAUUUGGUAAUCGUGUCAAAGUUCGCCUGGUUGUGCCGUAUUACAUUGUGAUUUGUGAAUGCUAUGUCGUUGGGGAAUCAGCGAGCUUGGUUAUAUUUCUGGGGCCGUCAUGUUAACUGGUGCUGGUAGCGCUCGCUUGCUAGCUAUGAGUUCUUGUUCUGUGUUUGCUUACUGGCUUAGUUAUGUGUGUUUGUCCGGGCACCUAUUGUGGUUUGUUUUUUGCUAGCUUGCUGCUGCGUGCAUGAUUGUUGUAACCGGGUGCUGGCUGUUUGGUGCUGGGCUGCUGAUGGCAUGAGACCCGCUUCAAAAAAAGGAAUGAAAGGAAGCAUUUGUUCAUAGAACAAAUAUAUUGUAAAAAUUUCCAUGGAAAGCCUGCAUAUUUAGCUCGGAAAAGGGGUCUAAGGAGGCUUAGAUUCUUGUUAUGUAUUGAUUUUGUAAAAUAUCUGCAGCUAUAUAUUGCUCAAUCAAAGAAAGAUUUUACUCAACCUUCAGUGUAAUGUAUUUCUAAUUGUUCAGAACUACUUCAAGUUUUGUUGUGAUUUUGCAAGAUUCUGAAAUUAUUGUAUUUCGAAAUUGUUAUACUGAUUCCUCGAUGCUCUGUUCAUGGCUUUGUUCUUAUUUUAUCCUUAGUUAUUUGAUUUUUCCUUUCCUACAAGAAGAUGCCGAGUCAUGUAAUAUGUUCAAAGAAGAGAGAAUCUGCAUUUUAUGAAUGCUUUCUUCUUUCUUCAUUGUUACUUCAAGUUAGCGAAUCCAGUUAAGUUGUACUGAGAAGAUUCAUACGCAUGCUUUCUCCAUCUACACAUCUUAUUCAGUCACGAGGCCAUUAAGAUCUUUUGCCUUUUAGAAAAAGGGAGAUGCCAUUUAGACCUUACUCUGUUCAACUUGAUCUUUAACUUGCUACUACUGUUUCUAAGCAUUUUCCCAAGCAUUGUUUUAUUUGCAUCAGAGAAUGAGCUCACCUUAUUCAGUGGAUGUGACAAGUAAAAAAUUAGAAACUGAGCAAUUAGUUCCACUCUUAAAUUUUGUACAGCAGUCCAAAUUAUCUAAUAAAUCAUUUGUUAGCAGGGUCUAAUUAUAGAAGUGGAAUCAGUUGUUCCAAAUUACCCAGUCCAAAUUAUGGAUGUUAAAAAUCUGUUUUGUGUUAGUCAAAUUGUUGAAAGCCGGAGCUGGGUCGAGGAGCCGGCCUCCGCCUUCGCCAUUGCCUGAGAGAAGCAACACCAGCAUUGGGCGUUCCAUGUGGAGAAUGAUGAGGUAUGGCAUGGAAUGGUUGGGUUUUGAGUGGUAGGUGAUCCCUAUGCCGGCGGUGAUAGCGGCCAUCAUUGGUACAUUUCAGUAAUAUGUAAGUCCAUUUCAGGCCCUGUUUGUUUGGGCUUUUACUUCUGCUUUUGCAGCUUUUCUAUUUUAGCCAAAAAGCCAUAAAAGCUAGGUGCUUUUAGAGCUUUUAUGGCUUUUGGAGAUGAAUAUUGUUAUAUUGAUUCAUCAAAAGCCAAAAAAGCUCCAAAAGCACCUAUUUAGGAGCUUUUAUGGCUUUUUGGCCAAAGUGGAAAAGCUACAAAAGCAGAAGCAAAAGCCCAAACAAACAUGGCCUCAGUAAUAUGUCUUGUUUUACUUCCUCCGCGGUGACUCUGGAUGUAUUCUCGGCUUUACAGUCAGUAAAAAGAAGGCAUGCAAAACAUUAUAUUUUUGCCUUGGUUGAAUGUCUCAUUUAAUUGUCGCUUAUUUAUUUCAAGUUACUGAAUUCGCAUCGAACUUUCCUUGUGCUUUCCAUUAAUAAAUAAGAAAUUAAUACGCAAUGUUUUUAAUAUGUGAGGAGGCGAGAGAAGAAGAAAAGAGGGGUUGUCAGGUCGGACCUUGGUACGUCUCUGACCAGAGAUGGUUGGAUCCGUCCGACGCUCUUCCAAACAGUGCAUUCUAGAUUCAAUGGGUAGUACAUGGAGCUUAUUUACUUUGCCGCUCUUAUGGCUUUAUCUGUACUUGACAUAUCAAGAGCUGGUGGUAGGUUCUACCGGAUCGAUUUUAGCUCCUCUUUCUUAGGUUCUGCCGACUCAUGUUCUUAUUUUAUCCUUAGUUUUCCCUUUCCAAUUUUGCAGGGGGGUGUACUCUCUCCCUCAAGGUAAGCGUGAAUGCAACGGACAUUGAUUGUGGCUGUUUAGAUAAAAAAUUGAGUGCAAAUUGAGUUUUAACAGUGAGACUUAUUCCAUUUGUUUAUCCUUUUGGCCUUUUAAUCAAGAACAAUGUUCAGAGCUUACAUGGUUGUCUAAAUUUAGUUUUGUAAAAGAGCAAUAUUGAUAUCAUGCAAUGAUCGGUGCAAAUUAGGAUAGUUAUAGAGUUCUUCCUCAGUUGUCAUUGAGCAAAGAUUGAAUCUGUGUGAUUUGUUCUAAUACCAAGUAAAUCUUAGUCUGCAUUGUGUUAGUUUUCAUACUGAGUUUUUUUUGGCUAUUUUCGUUUAAAUUGGGAGUUGAUGUGAAAAAGAGUGUGUGUUGACAUGCAUGUAACCAAAUCAUGUAUUAAUGUGAGGUACUACAUAUACUUGCAUAUCUCUUUUCAGAAGCACGACCCUCUUGAUCCAACUAGGAACAUCAAAACUAAAAUGGGAUAUCAUUGACUGGACUUCAGAUGGCCAUGCUAUGCAUGGAAAUUUGGAGCAGUUAAUCCCAAUAGCGAGACAUGAGUUAUGCUCAAGGUAAUUGACCUUUGCAUAAUAAGAUAUAUGGAGCUCUUUUGAAUGCAGCAUUUUAGCUGAAUUGAUGGAAAUGUCAGUAUUCUACUUUCGUUCACAGAUUUCAAGAGAUUUUCCAUGCAAAAAAAUAAUGUAUCAAGGCCAGUUUUGUUGUGUAUUUCUUGGUGAAUGUGUAGCAAGCUCUUCGUGUGCUCAUUUUCUCCUCUGCUAAAAAGAAUUUUCCCAAUGAAAGAAGUACACGCUUAAUGAUUUGUGUUAUGUGUUAAUGAUAGGGAGUAUCAACAAGAACUUAAUGCAGGAUGCAGCCAGAUUGGGUCCAUUCCCGAUGGAGUGGAACUGGAGCUUCCAGGGGAUGGUUCUGAUCCAGUUCCAUUAAGGGUGUAUUUUUUUUGGAGCUUGGCCUGGUGUGGUUUUGUCCAUGCCUAUGAACAGGCUGCCCUCCAUGCCAUAAGAUUUUUAUAGGGCUUAUAUGGGUUUGUAGUUCGAGAUUAUAAUUAUGACUGUAUGAUGGUCUAUAGGAGCUUCCUUCGUUUUUCCAUGACAGUUUCAGUUUCAGCCGUCCGGUCCGUUGGGUGCCUGCAGAGGGAAGGUGCCUGUAGAGGGGAUUGUUCUCUGUGAACGUGGAA